CCCUUUCCUCACUAGAAAAGAAUGCCCGGUCCAUGGUUCCAUGGCUUUGAGGCGGAGCUAGAGUAAAGAAGACGGCGGCAAGAACCCUAACUGCGAGAAGUCUCGACUCCCCCGAGCAGCGCCAUGCCGCCAGUGGUGUUGAAUGUUGAUGACAUAAAUCGGGACUACAACUCCGAUGAGGAACAGGUUCGCAGGAAGGACAUACCGGACCGCAGGAUAUGGAUAAGAUCGUUCUUUUUGCGGUGGUGGCUAAAGCAUUCUGCGUAGUGUGUGUUUGUGCCCAGAAUUUGCAUCCUGCAGCACAUGUUUGGUGUUUUGUCCUAGCAUUGCAAGUGCUCUUUAAUCAAGCAGAGACCUUUGCUAAAUUCUGAUCUUCAUAUGCUACCUGAGGCUGGCACUAUUUUCUAUUGUACUGAGUUUAACGAGCAAUCUCUUUGCGCAUUGUUGUUUAAUUUAGUGUGAUGGAAUGAGAACAAUGCCUGAAUUUUUCUGUUUCGUUCCAGUAAGAACCAAAGUUCAAACUUGGUACAAUUUGAUUUAUGAUA